rnacentral:rRNA from 1 species
GAUGAACGCUAGCUACAGGCUUAACACAUGCAAGUCGCGGGGCAGCGUCGUCGUUACUUUCCACUCGUUGUGGCUAGCCGGGCACGGGGGAGUAACGCGUGUCUCCCAUGCCCUUCUCCACGGGGUAACCCCUCGCAAAUCUAACACUAACCCUCAAUGAUCCCUUAACGACGUCUGGUAUUGGGGUUAAGGUUUUCUCGGUAAGGGUGGGGGAUGCUUCCGAUUAGCUUGAUGGCGGGGUACCGGCCAACCUGGGCUACGAUCGGGAGGGGUUCUGAGAGGAAGGUCCCCCAAAAUGGAACUGAGAAACGGUCCAGACUCCUACGGGAGGCAGCAGUGAGGAAUAUUGGUCAAUGGGCGUAAGCCUGAACCAGCCAAGUAGCGUGCAGGAUGACGGCCCUAUGGGUUGUAAACUGCUUUUAUGAGGGGAUAAAGUGGCUCACGUGUGGGUUUUUGCAGGUACCGUAUGAAUAAGGACCGGCUAAUUCCGUG